UAAAAUGGGUUAAACAUGGAACAUUACUACUUAGGACGAUACGUCAAGAUGUCUACUAGAAAGCUACAUACCAGCUGCACGCACGAGAAAUUACCGUUAGACCCCCACUCUUAAAUUACAUCAGCUCCCCAAUCUGCAUAAACAGCCAAAAGUGGAAGCCUUAAAUUCUGAAGAUACUGAAGAUCACGAAGAAUACUUAGCUUGUCUAUUUCCCAAAGUGGAAUUCUCUAAACUCUGAACAAGUAGUCAUGAAACAAUUUUCUGCCCUUUCAACUUCCCCUUUAAUAUACCAAUGGGAGGAUCACAAACAUUAGUUUUUCUCUUCUAAACCAAAUUCACAAGUGGUAGCCCUUCCAUGAGCAAUAAUCUAUGGUUAUAUAACAUGAGAUCAUGACUUAUAUAACAAAAAGUGUGCAUGUCAAUGAGACAACAUGCCUCCUCUUGAAUGCUUCUUUAACAUAUGAAUACAUGGUCUGUAUAUAUACAUAUUUGUGUAUUGUAUAUUCAUUUUCUUUGUCUUGAUAUCUAUAAUUAGCUUUCUGAUCUUCUCUUUUUAUCAGGCAAAGAGAGAGCUCAACGAUCCUGAGAAUGCUAUAAUUGGAGCUUUUGCAGGUGCAUUAACUGGAGCUAUAACCACUCCCCUUGAUGUGAUUAAAACUAGACUAAUUGUACAGGGAUCUGCCAACCAGUACAAAGGAAUUGUUGACUGUGUUCAGACUAUUGUGAGGGAAGAAGGACCUCCCGCCCUUUUGAAGGGUAUUGGACCAAGAGUGCUGUGGAUAGGGAUUGGCAGUUCAAUCUUUUUUGGUGUUCUCGAAAGAACAAAGCGCUUACUUGCUCAGAGACGACCAACAGUUGAUGAAGACGCGAAGCAGGACUAACUUGUAGAUAAACUAGGGGAUCCUUUAUGUUCUCCAUUUUUUGGGUGUGAAAUUUCCAGGGUGGUAGUUUGAAAAUCUUGCCAUCAGCUUUGAAAGGCUUUUAUAAUGUCUUUGUUUUUUUUUUUUUCCUUUUCUGUACAAAGAACCAAAGUUGUCAUUAUAGCUUGUACCAGGAAGUGAAAAAUUUUAUUACUAGUCGAACACAUUUCCUUUUCCUUCA